AACCGCUGGGCAACUGGCGGGGAGAGUGGCGAAAGGGGCAGUAAGGCGUGGGUAACGUACCCCCCGGUUCAGGAUAGCCACGGGAAACUGUGGGUAAUACUGAGCGACGUAGCUAGGGCGCAUGUCCCGGCUACCAAAGGUCCGCCGCCGGGGGAGCGGCUCACGUGAUAUUAGCUUGUUGGCGGGGUAAUGGCCCACCAAGGCUGAGAUGUCUAGCGGGUGUGAGAGCACGACCCGCGCCACUGGCACUGAGACACUGGCCAGACACCUACGGGUGGCUGCAGUCGAGGAUCUUCGGCAAUGGGCGCAAGCCUGACCGAGCGACGCCGCGUGCGCGAUGAAGGCCUUCGGGUUGUAAAGCGCUGUCGAGGGGGAGGAAAGCCGCAAGGUCUGACCUAUCCCUGGAGGAAGGACGGGCUAAGUUCGUGCCAGCAGCCGCGGUAAGACGAACCGUCCUAACGUUGUUCGGAAUCACUGGGCUUAAAGGGCGCGUAGGCGGCGGCACAAGUCCGGGGUGAAAUCCUUCGGCUUAACCGGAAAAGGGCUUCGGAUACUGUGUCGCUCGAGGGAGGUAGGGGCACGUGGAACUUCUGGUGGAGCGGUGAAAUGCGUUGAUAUCAGAAGGAACGCCGGUGGCGAAAGCGACGUGCUGGCCCUCUUCUGACGCUGAGGCGCGAAAGCCAGGGGAGCGAACGGGAUUAGAUACCCCGGUAGUCCUGGCCCUAAACGAUGGGUACUAGGUAGUGGGCUUGACAUGGGCUCACUGCCGAAGCAAAAGUGUUAAGUACCCCGCCUGGGGAGUAUGGUCGCAAGGCUG
rnacentral:rRNA from 1 species